rnacentral:rRNA from 1 species
UGAGAGUUUGAUCCUGGCUCAGAGCGAACGCUGGCGGCAGGCCUAACACAUGCAAGUCGAGCGCCGUAGCAAUACGGAGCGGCAGACGGGAGAGUAACACGUGGGAACGUGCCCUUUGGUUCGGAACAACCCAGGGAAACUUGGGCUAAUACCGGAUAAGCCCUUACGGGGAAAGAUUUAUCGCCGAAGGAUCGGCCCGCGUCUGAUUAGCUAGUUGGUGGGGUAAUGGCCCACCAAGGCGACGAUCAGNAGCUGGUCUGAGAGGAUGAUCAGNCUCACUGGGACUGAGACACGGCCCAGACUCCUACGGGAGGCAGCAGUNGGGAA